CCCCAUUCUCUCCUGCCUGGGUCACUGUGAUUGCCUCCCGACCGGUGGCCCGGCUCCUGCCCUGUGAAGUCUGUCUCCCCACCCGGCAACCAGAGUGAUCCUAGGAGAAGCAGGCGAGCUCCUGCCCCGGCUCUUCUGUCCGAUCUCAGGCUUCCUCCCCCCGUGACCACGACCGUGUGACCAUGACGGCUCUGCUCUGUGGCAGCUGACCUUUCUGACCGCUAUCUAACACCCCCUCUCUCUUCCUCUGGUCUCGCUGACAUAUUCUCUCCAGCCCUUCCCACUCACCCUUCCAACACCCUCCCCUCACUCUCCCAGACCACGCUUUCAACUCUCCCUCCUUCCCACCCUCCCCCAGCUGCCCUUUCUCUCCCAGGACUUAACCAGGACGCCCAAAGACUGCAUUCAGCGAACACUCUUCUGAGUCCUGGACCAGUAAAAGCCCUGACCUCCCAACACUUCCUCAGACGCCAGAUGUCACAGCCCAAUGUCAUCCUCUUUCUCCCCAGGCAUCCCCGUCCCCCUGGUUGCUAAGACAGAAGUGUCCGAUGCAUUCAGAUGCCCCCCACGGCUUCCCAGCCUCCCUCCCAAGACCUUCUAACCUGUCUCUGGAGCCUCUCCUACUACUUAAAUGGCCCUCUCCCAGAGCAGCCCCACCCCUCCUCAGUUCCGGCCCUAAUUUCCUCUCACCAGACCCUUUCUCCACCGAGUGGCCCGAGUGAUGGCUUUAAACACAAAUUGGAUCAAGACACCACCUGCUCGAAACCCUGCACAGCUCCGCAUGACUCUCUGGUGCAGUGCACAUCCCUUACUUAGCCCGUGGACUCACAACGGAGCCCUCCUCUGCCCCUCCGUCUCCCACCCCUUCCAACUCUCCCCUAUCUAGUCUGUCUUCCAGGUUUUCAAGAUAGUUUCAUUGAAGUGUAAUUUAUAGGUAAUAAAACUCACUCAUCCUAGGUGUAGAGCUUGAUGGAUGUGGAUAAUUAUGUACAGUUAUAGGCACAUGGCUGUUACCCUAAAGGUCCCCUGAGUCCCUUUGCAGUCACUCUCCUAGCCCCAGGCAGCCACUGAUUUGCCUUAUGUCACUAUCGCUUUGUCUUUUCCAUAGUUUUAUAUAAAUAAAAUUACUGUUUGUAAUCUC